rnacentral:lncRNA from 1 species
UAUUUAAUAGCUCUGUGUUUUUUCCCAGUCAACAGGGGUAACUGAUGUAAUAGGUGGAGGAGGACAAGGACCCUACUUAAAAACAGUGGAGACUGGAGAAAUUCUUCAUUCUUUGACUCUGCUAACUAGACCUGAGACCUUCUUCCUUUGAACUGGCACAUGGAGCCACGGAAUAACUGACAGCUUGACAUCCGGGUUUCAAACAUUGCCUCUUCUGGCGAGCGGAAGCGGAAGCUUGUUCCCUGCUCAGCUCAUCCGGAAAUAGCCUUGUUGCCUAGACGAGCACCGGAAGUGUCUCUCUAGGUUGGUGGCCCGAGAACCCAGACUGUGA